UUUUGCUUCAUACAUCCAUUUUCUGCUCAUUCUCACUGAACUUGUUGUUUUCUUCUUUUCACAACUUCACUCAUACAACUCCCUCUUUUUCUUCAUAUCCACUUCCACUUCCGAACAUAAUUACACCACUUUCGUCCUCCUCCUCAUCUCCAUUAAACCAACAUCUACAACAAUACUUCAUCUUUCUGCAACCUACAACAAUAUCUCUUAACUCCAUCAACAACUCAAACUCAACCAAACAGAAUUUCAUUCAUUUUUG
rnacentral:lncRNA from 1 species